rnacentral:rRNA from 1 species
UUUGAUGUUCUAACGUGGACCCGUAAUCCGGGUUGCGGACAGUGUCUGGUGGGUAGUUUGACUGGGGCGGUCUCCUCCUAAAGAGUAACGGAGGAGCACGAAGGUUGGCUAAUCCUGGUCGGACAUCAGGAGGUUAGUGCAAUGGCAUAAGCCAGCUUGACUGCGAGCGUGACGGCGCGAGCAGGUGCGAAAGCAGGUCAUAGUGAUCCGGUGGUUCUGAAUGGAAGGGCCAUCGCUCAACGGAUAAAAGGUACUCCGGGGAUAACAGGCUGAUACCGCCCAAGAGUUCAUAUCGACGGCGGUGUUUGGCACCUCGAUGUCGGCUCAUCACAUCCUGGGGCUGAAGUAGGUCCCAAGGGUAUGGCUGUUCGCCAUUUAAAGUGGUACGCGAGCUGGGUUUAGAACGUCGUGAGACAGUUCGGUCCCUAUCUGCCGUGGGCGCUGGAGAACUGAGGGGGGCUGCUCCUAGUACGAGAGGACCGGAGUGGACGCAUCACUGGUGUUCGGGUUGUCAUGCCAAUGGCACUGCCCGGUAGCUAAAUGCGGAAGAGAUAAGUGCUGAAAGCAUCUAAGCACGAAACUUGCCCCGA